CCGCUCGCUGGCGGGCGGGACACAGUCCUGCUAAUUUCAGAAAGCCUGCUAGAGAUACAACAGUCAGCGGCUGCAUCUACAGACAAUUUUUGUUGGGAAAAGUGCCAUAUAGUAUCGACAGUGACAACAAAUUGUAUUGUCCGGUGAACAUCUGUUUCCGACUCCCACACUGAUACUGCAGGUUGGAUACUUCUGAUUUAGUCUUCACAGGCUGCCCGACCACAGAGGAACUGGAAAUUACUGGUACAUUCAACUUUUAUUAUUGGAACACAGGAAAACUUUAUCAUCAUGCUGGGAAAUUCUGUGUCUUUUGAAAUAUUGG